rnacentral:rRNA from 1 species
UUUACUGAGAGUUUGAUCCUGGCUCAGGGUGAACGCUGGCGGCGUGCCUAAGGCAUGCAAGUCGAAUGCUUCUUUCGGGAAGCAUGGCAGACGGGUGAGUAACACAUUAAUAAUCUACCCCAAAGACGGGAAUAAUCCACCGAAAGGAGGAAUAAUACCCGAUGUGCUCUUUUGAUAUAAGUCAAAAGAGUAAAACUCCGGUGCUUUGGGAUGAGUUUAUGGUCUAUCAGCUUGUUGGUGAGGGUAAUGGCCCACCAAGGCUAUGACGGAUAGCGGGCGUGAGAGCGCGACCCGCCUCAUUGGGACUGAGACACUGCCCAAACUCCUACGGGAGGCUGCAGUCAGGAAUAUUCCUCAAUGCGCGAAAGCGUGAAGGAGCGACGCCGCGUGUCCGAAGACGCCCCUCGGGGUGUAAAAGACUUUUGUCAGGGAAGAACCAAUGACGGUACCUGACGAAUAAGGGGCUGCUAAUCACGUGCCAGCAGCAGCGGUAAUACGUGAGCCCCAAGCGUUACCCGGAAUUAUUGGGCGUAAAGAGUCUGUAGGCGGUUUGGUAAGUCACUUGUCAAAUCUUUGUGCUCAACACAGAGACUGCAAGCGAUACUGCCAGACUCGAGACUGGGAGAGGCAAGCGGAACUGCAGGUGUAGGGGUUGUAUCCAUUAAUAUCUGCAGGAACACCAAAUGCGAAGGCAGCUUGCUAGGACAGUACUGACACUAAAGUACGAAAGCGUGGGGAGCGAAGCGGAUUAGAUACCCGCGUAGUCCACGCCGUAAACGCUGGAUACUAGACAUUGGGAGUAUCGACCCUCUCAGUGUCGCUUACAAAAGCUAACGCGUUAAGUAUCCCGCCUGGGGAGUACGGCCGCAAGGCUAAAACUCAAAGGAAUUGACGGGGACUCGCACAAGCGGUGGAUCAUGUGGUUUAAUUCGACAUUAAGCGGAAAACCUCACCAGGACUUGACAUCUAGCUGCAAGCUCUAAGAAACUAGAGCCGCCUUCGAGGGUGCUAGACAGGUGCUGCAUGGUUGUCGUCAGUUCGUGUC